AAACAAACAAGCAAACAAGGAAACAACUAAAAAUAUAUCUCCCAGUCUGUGCUUAUCAGAUCUGUGCUAAGGAACUCCUUCAAUUCUUAACUAAGCUUGCACAGAGCCAAAGGAGAAACCUGAGGCUACAAGCCUGUACAGAAUGUUAUGACACUGUAUACUGGAGGCAACUCUAACACAAUGUACAUGAAUCACUCCUACUAAGAGAUCCUGAAAGAGGUCAUCAAAGCCACCAGAAACUAUUCCUGGACAGAGGAGGUUUUAUAGGUGUGGUUGGUCUCCUUACUGACGUGUCAACUACAAAUGCACAGGGUUCUGCCUGAAAUGUUUUAGUUGUUGCAGAUGUGUAGCUUCUAUAUGUAAAGUCUUCACUGCACGUGCUACAGAAACUUGAACUAUCUGAAGAGAGGAUGGAGUCAUCAGAUACUGGAUCCAGUCAAAAUAUUUGGAUGCUUUCAGAAACAUCUGCCUAGCUGAGAUGUGGGGAAGGAACAUAAAGCAUUUUCUCUCCCAGUCCCUGCUGAAAGGGUGAGCCUGUGGUCUAUAUAUAUAGGAAUGACUAAAGUUAAUUGUUAAGAAUUAUUUGAUAGGCAAAAAUAAAAGCUAAUGCUUUAUAUAGAUUGACGGGCUUUGUAUCCAAUAAAAGCGAUAAUACAAAUAAAUACAAAUAAUACAAAUAAAAUAAAAAUAAAAUAAAAUAAUACAAAUAAAUACAAAUUGUCCUAGAUAGGAAAGCUGAGAACAGAUACUAAAGUAAGGUAACAAAUUAAAAUUUAGAUAGAAAAUAAAAGCCAAGCUAGAUUUGGGAAUCAAAGAGUAGGGAGGGCUGAGCAAGGUUAAGAAAGUUAGACUAUUAAUUUGUUUGAGCUGGAGCCAAGAACCAGAUUUGAAUAACCAUUUCCUUAGUGACUAAUGUUGCUGUCAUAGAUUUGAACUGGACCAUGGGUAGAAAUAAAUGCAUCUGUAGAAUUCUAUAAACCUCUAUUUAGCAACUGCAAAUAUAUUUUGUGCUUACAAAACUCAUCUUACAUAUAAUAAAGUAGUACUCUAUUUUUAAGUUGUUAAAAUUCUUAAAACAUAGAGCUUGUAAACACAAGUAAUUGGCAGAAAAGCUUAGAAGGCUGAUAUGUAGGUCUCAGUGUAAAUAUGAUUCCUGUAACUAGGCUGCUAACACCCAAAAUAUUGCCUAAAUUAGUCUGAAAUUAUCCAUAUUUCAGAGAAACAUUCAAAGAAAAGUUAACAUAUAUGUAGCACACUCUCUUCUGACUCACUUGAAAGCAUUUGAGGAGCACCCCAGGAAAGGCCAUUUUAUUCAGCUGUAAUCCCCAAAUACACAAACAUAUUUUUAACUUAUUGUAUAAGCAAUGGGUUAGUGGCAUUAAACACAUAUUUUGAGAUGACAAUCUUAUGUUGUAAAAUACAUGUCUUAAAUAAAUACAGUCUAAAUCAAAUACUUAAGAAUCAUACCUAAAUGUUUAUAGGAAGAUAAUUAUUCUAAAUCAACUACAACACAUAUAAAUUAUAAACUAAGACAUUCAAAAUAUGUCAUUUUUCUUAUUACUGGAGAUGAUAAACAAAAACCUACAUUAUUACUCUUAGGUUAGUUACGGCGAAGAGAUUCCAACCUCAAUAUAUAAAAGAGGGAUAUAUUUCUAACGUUUUCUUUGUAGUGAAAUAUGAUAGAUAGAAUCCUAGUUUUUAAUUGCUUUCUAUUACAACAUUAAGCUGAAAAAAAUUCCCUUGGGUCAAAGCUUUUGUAUUUGCUGCAUAUUCUAUGAAUUGAGCAAGUUUCCAUGUUAAAUAGCGUCUCAGAGCAUGUGUUGUUCCUCAAAUGCUUUCUCUUUCCUGACUUUUCGGUCUAGAUCCAGAGUUAGGCCUCAUAAAAAUACACGAUCUUAUCUUUGCCUGUUCCAAGUCUCAGCUCAUAGGUGACCAGGUCCCUUUUCACAAAACUACUGAAGACAGAUCCAAGCAUCUCAACUCACCUACUACUGAGUUCACCAGCAAGAUCUGAAAGGCCUUAUUGAUUAAUGGCUUCCCAUGAUAUAAUAGGCUUGUGGUAUUUGAUUCUCUUCCUAUGAUGGUUAUAGAUCCGUUAAUAUCUCACCAUUCUAUACCCAUGAGACCUCGUCUUGAAGGGUCAAUAUUAUCUUUUGAUAACAAUUUUGGACCACAGAAAAGUAUAAGAAUUAACUGAAAGUAGACUUCAAUGAAGAAAAAGGGGCAAAAAGGAAGCCUAACAAAUAUCAAUGGAUGAUUCCUAUUACUUAGUUAACAAAAUGUUUUCUAUUAUGAUGCAUCAGAAAGUAUGACUAAUAUGUUGCUUUCUCGGUGGAUUUUAUGAUACAUACUUUUUCUUGCAAGCAAUUUUGCAGCAAGUUCUGUUGCCUGUAAAGAAAGGUUGAUCAUUUAGUUAUUACAUAGAGUCAAAAAUUUAUAAAACUUUUCCCAAAAUUUCUAAUUAUUGAAAUCAUUUUGUUGUAUCUAAGAUUUUUUCUCUAGAAAUUCAAAAUGAAGAAUACACUGUUUUUUCCAACCCCCCUAUUUCACUUCCUCCUUAGACUGGCCUCUAGUUUCGGAAAUGUGCUUUAUUACCCAGGGGUACAGAAUUAUAGCUGCUGCAUAAACAGUGUAUCUUUCUGAUCCUUAUACUUCCAACACACCUUAGCCAUGCCUACAUUGUGUUUCUCUGAAAAUGGAUAUAGGAUUUGCAGGAAGUGGGCAGAUGAGUCCCUUCUGACUGCUAAAAGCCCUGAUGGAGUAGCAAGGCAUCUGACCAGGACUUUCUGAUAAUCCUUUAUUUACUCGUUCAAAUGCCAUAGUUCCACUGUCCUCUCCCCAUAUUCCACAGUAGGAAGAAAAUAUGUGAAUGCUUAUUCAGUAACUAUGGGUUAAAAUCAUAAGUUUCUAGCUAUAUUUAAUACCAAUUUAGAUGCAUUCCUUUUAUGUGUAUGACAAUAUUCUAUCAUGUGUUGUUAGAUUUACCGUCACACACUAAUGAAAUAAAAACACAGUUUUCUAAAUUGCAAAAAAGAAUAGCUCAAUCAUAAAAAUAAUAGAAAAAUAAAUAUUAAAAUCUAAAACUGAAGUCUGAUUUAUUUUUGUAUAUUUUUGCUGAUUUGUACUGCUGCUUUUCUUCUUUCUACUUUCUUAAGAAAAUUGGCACUCCUUUCUAGGCCUGCACUCUACAUGAUCAAAUUUACAUUUCCCCCUAGGGAUAUAAUUCAAUUUUGAGAAAUAGCCAGACUGAAAACUAUAUCCUGUAUUUUGGCAGAAAAGAAAAGAAACUUCACUGGGUUCAGUUCAUAAAAUGGGCUUCAUGACAAUAGUCUACCCUUAGAUUUGUACCUUUUGGCAGUAUUCAACUAGGAGCAUGAAAGCUGAUGUCAGUGACAUGUUCUCUAUCAUUUGUCCUAAUUUGUUUUUCUAAGAUCUGGUUUCUUAGGUCAACUCAAGUUUCCACAGGUUUUCCUCUUAGAUAUUCUGCAACCUAAUGCAUUCAGAUUCACUUUUCUGUUUUCUUCAUGUUAUAUCAUUGGCACAAAACAUAACUAACUCAAGGAGUUCUAUGUAUUCAUUGGUAGCAGUUCCCAAUAGACUUUUUGCUCCAAAAGCAUACAAACAGCACGAAAGUGCAAAGGCCUACAGGUAAAAUUAGUCAGGAAACUGAAAAAGCUUCAUUGAUGACUAUUAGAAAACAAUUUUAUUAACCAGAUAAAGCAUGGCAUCAGCAGAAAUGGCAGGGUAAGUAUCUUGAGAAAUUCAUUCCUCCAAAAAAGUAAGAAGUAAACUGGCGAAAGAAAAAUGAUGAGAAUUAUAGUUUCUGGGGCUCUAAUUAAUUAAAGGCUUGCAACAUUCCAGAGAGCACUUAUUUAGGAAAAACAGUGAAUCUAGGUAAUAGCAGUGGGUUUUGGUGUUUUAACUUGUCUUAUUUUCAUCCACUUUCUCCAGCUUCAUAAUAUCCUUGAAAAAUAAUACCCUGAAAUCAUAGCAACAUAGUUUUAUCUUGGUAUCUGCCUAAAAACUAGCAUUAUAGUUUGAACAUAGUAGGUUCUCAAUAAAUGUUUGAUAAAUAAAUUCCUAUUUAAAGUCUUUCGGAUCUGUGACUACUUCUCUCUAAUCCCAAAUGAAGCCUUUGCAGGCCACUAAUAGCUUUUGGGAGCUGGUUCUGAGUUUCUUUCUUUCAAUUUUUCCUAUAUAUUGGUGUCAAAGUUAUUCAUUGUGUAUGCUAAUUUGACCAUUACACCCCCACUAAAAACCAUCAGACUAUUACCCAAUAAAUAAACUACAAGUUUUAACCACAGUCUUCAGGGUAGUAGAUUUAUUGCCUUCUUCACUGUUACUCCUUAUACCUUCCCUGUAAUACAAAGUUACUUAUCACCUGAGUGCAACCCUUAAUUGCUGCAACUUUACUCCCACUGCUGUCAUAUUUACUUUAUUUUCAUUCCCUUGGUACUGAAUUUUCCUCUCAAUUUUAUAAAUCUUUUGUAACAUUAAACAAAUGAUCAGGAACAAGAAGACUAAGCAAUAAGUGAGAAAAGAAAUGAUGGAAUAGAUGUGAGGCUUCCACAGCAAACUCCUGUAAAACCUGCAGUUAAACCUGAGCAAGAGGAAUGUGACAUAUGUGUCUUUGCUCUUUAUUUGGAUCUGUGUGUAUGCUCUUGGAGCAGUGGCGAAGAAGCUCCAGGGUAAUCUAAAAACCAAAAUAAAUGCCUUGAGAUCUUUUCUGGGAAUGAAAAAAUACAAAGACAAGCUAAGAAGCUGGAGCAGGAAAUUGACUUCAAACUCUGCUUGGAGAAUCACCAGCUGCAAAACUGUAUGGGGCAAAUUUCUCAUAAGAGUAUAGAGGAUGUGACACUGUACAGAGUUCACACUCAUGACUCAAUGAUGAAAUGGAAACCAGGAAGACCUGAUUAUGCAUGUCUGUGAAACUCACCCAUGCCAUCUGGAAAGGAAAAAGUUAAGUUGCAUUUCUGCAAUACAUUCUCUCCCUUCCCUGAGCUGCUCCUGGAAUAUAAAGAAAGCAAGGAAAUAUUUACUGGGCCUUCAGCUUUCUGUACUACUUCGGAACAGCACUAGCAUCUAUCUCAGGGUUUAAAAUAUGGAAGUUCUUGCCUUCCUUGAAUCUUUUCUCCCAGAAAUAACAUAUUGGCUCUCUUCCCUGUGACAUGCCUCAUCUGACAUUGGCUGGCUUUCAUAUAAAACCUUUGUUUUAGCCUACUAUCAAUUCAACUUUUACAUUGACAAAACGUAAUUUUUGGUUGUCAAUGUAAAAGUUGACAUUUUUACAUUCAACUUUAAUUUAAAUGCUGAAUUUAAAUUUAAAUGCUGAAAAUUUAUUUAAACACUUAAAAUGAUAUUAGAAGAGGUAUUUUAUGUUUUUAAACAGAGAUAUAUUUCAUUUUUAUAUGCAGUCAACAGAUCACAUGUGUAUGUCUCUUAUGUGUUCCUGUGUGGGAAUAGCUUGAAUUACUACAUAAGUUCUCUGAGAAUAUUAAGUUCAUUUAGGGGAACAGGACAUAUCUAUAUGAAAAACAGAAAUAAUACUACAAACAAAAGAGAGAUCACGAGAUAACAUGUAAUUAAUUCUCAGUGAAUGACAUGUCAUGAAAUCAUCAGAAGAGAUGAGGAUAUGGGAAAAGCUUUAUGAAAGUAGUCAGAACCAUAAGGAAGAUUCGGUUUUGUUAAACAGAAAGACCUUUUUCCAUUGUGGUAUUAAGUUUAAUAUGAUUUUCAUUGUAUUAAAAUACUAAUGCAGUAAGUUGAAAAUAUAAUUGCAUUCUUUUCAUUUAAUCUAUUGUAAAAUAUAUAAUCAAAAUGAUAUACUUGUAAAAUAAUUACAUAUAUAAUAAAAUCAAUAUACCUGUAAAAGAAUCA
rnacentral:lncRNA from 1 species